GUACUAUUCACAUGGCUGGUGUUACCCACAAAGAAGACAGGCUGGCUGGGCUUCAGUCACACAAAUUCGGGUCGCGGAGGGUGCCGGAGCCUAUUCCAGCUGUCUUCAGGCGAGAUGUGGGAUACAUUUCGCACCUCAUCUUCUCUAUCUGACAUUACAGUCCAGACUGAUGAAACUGGCAAUGGCAAAUCCAUCAAUGAUGUCCUCCUCCUGGGAGCCGGACUCCCUUCUCUUCCGCCUCGGGGUACGCGGGGCUCUGGCUGCCGCUGCGGGGUGCGGCUUCUUUUUAGCGGUGUCCCUCCUCGGACUGUGUCGCUCCCUGUCGGAACAGCAGGAGUUGGGGUCGGCGUCUCCGCUCCCCGUUGUCUCCCGCAACCUUCGCACUCUUUCCCGCUUGGGCCGGCAUCUCCGACCCUGCUUCAAUUUCCCAUCCAUGUUGGGAGGGAGGAGAGAAGGGGGAGGG